GGGCCCGCACAAGCAGCGGAGCAUGUGGUUUAAUUCGAAGCAACGCGAAGAACCUUACCCAGACUUGACAUCUCCUGAAUUAAUCGUAAUGGAUGAAAUCCCUUCGGGGACAGGAAGACAGGUGGUGCAUGGUUGUCGUCAGCUCGUGUCGUGAGAUGUUGGGUUAAGUCCCGCAACGAGCGCAACCCUUAUCAUUAGUUGCUAACAUUAAGUUGAGCACUCUAGUGAGACUGCCCGGGUUAACCGGGAGGAAGGUGGGGAUGACGUCAAAUCAUCAUGCCCCUUAUGUCUGGGGCUACACACGUGCUACAAUGGUGGGAACAAAGAGAUGCAAGACCGCAAGGUGGAGCCAAACUCAAAAACCCAUCCCAGUUCGGAUUGUAGGCUGAAACUCGUCUACAUGAAGCUGGAGUUGCUAGUAAUCGCGAAUCAGAAUGUCCGCGGUGAAUACGUUCCCGGGCCUUGUACACACCGCCCGUCACACCAUGAGAGUCGGCAACACCCGAAGCCCGUGAGGUAACCUUUUGGAACCAGCGGUCGAAGGUGGGGUUGAUAAUUGGGGUGAAGUCGUAACAAGGUAGCCGUAGGAGAACCUGCGGCUGGAUCAC
rnacentral:rRNA from 1 species